rnacentral:tRNA from 1 species
UCCGCGAUAGCUCAACGGUUGAGCACCCGGCUGUUAACCGGGGGGUUGCAGGUUCGAAUCCUGCUCGCGGAGCCA